rnacentral:rRNA from 1 species
AGUGAACGCUGGCGGCAGGCCUAAUACAUGCAAGUCGAACGGCAGCACGGCAGAGCUUGCUCUGUGGGUGGCGAGUGGCGGACGGGUGAGGAAUACAUGGGAAUCUGCCCAGUCGUGGGGGAUAACGUAGGGAAACUUACGCUAAUACCGCAUGCGCCCUUCGGGGGAAAGCCGGGGACCUUCGGGCCUGGCGCGAUUGGAUGAGCCCAUGUCGGAUUAGCUAGUUGGCGGGGUAAUGGCCCACCAAGGCGACGAUCCGUAGCUGGUCUGAGAGGAUGAUCAGCCACACUGGAACUGAGACACGGUCCAGACUCCUACGGGAGGCAGCAGUAGGGAAUAUUGGACAAUGGGCGCAAGCCUGAUCCAGCCAUGCCGCGUGAGUGAAGAAGGCCCUCGGGUUGUAAAGCUCUUUUGUCCGGAAAGAAAAGCGCCGGGUUAAUACCCUGUGUCCUGACGGUACCGGAAGAUAAGCACCGGCUAACUUCGUGCCAGC